AACCUGCGGAAGGAUCAUUACC
rnacentral:rRNA from 1 species